CCUACGGGUGACAGCAGUGAGGAAUAUUGGUCAAUGGGCGGGAGCCUGAACCAGCCAAGUAGCGUGAAGGAUGACAGCCCUAUGGGUUUUAAGCUUCUUUUAUAAGGGAAUAAAGUGCCCCACGUGUGGGGUUUUGUAUGUACCUUAUGAAUAAGCAUCGGCUAAUACCGUGUCAGCAGCCGCGGUAAUACGGAAGAUGCGAGGGUUAUCCGGAUGUAUUGGGGUAAAGGGGACCGUAGGCGGUUCCAUAAGUCAGCGGUAAAAUCGUGCGGCUCAACCGGACCGUGCCUUGGAAACUGUGCAACUUGAGUAUGCGCAGGGUACAUGGAAUUCGUGGUGUAGCGGUGAAAUGCUUAGAUAUCACGAAGAACUCCGAUCGCGAAGGCAUUGUACCGGAGCAAGACUGACGCUGAGGCUCGAAAGUGCGGGUAUCAAACAGGAUUAGAUACCCGGGUAGUC
rnacentral:rRNA from 1 species